AGCAAAAUGAUGAGAUUUGUAUUACUGAUAAUUUGAUGUGGAAUCCCAUACCAAACUGUUCUUCAAAGUUCUCUGAUUGCU